rnacentral:rRNA from 1 species
GUGAAGGAACUAGGCAAAAUAGUACCGUAACUUCGGGAGAAGGUACGCCAGAGCUUGUGACGAG